AAUAUAAUAAAAUAAGAUUUUUAACUAAAUAAGAAAUAAAAUAAUAAACUAAUGACAAACCUAUUUCAGUAGUUCUUAAAUAAGCUUAAUAUCCCAAUAAUACAUAAUUAUUGUGGCUACAUGAGUACUCCAUAAAAUUAAAACAUAUCAAUCAUAGGGCCUUUAAAUAAGCUUAAUAUCAUAAUAAUACAUAACUAUUGUAACUACACAAAUAUUCCAUAAUAUUGAAAUAUACCAAUCCAAGUGUCUUUUUGUUUUGCAUCACUCUUUCUUUUGGAGGGAUACCUGAUCUUCCUUUUGUAUUCUCAUCAUUCUUAAUAAUAUUUUUUCUUUUGCCACCAAAAAAAAAAACUACUACAUUUUUAAUAGAAGUACUUUUUAAACUAUUGUAUUUCUAUAUUCUAUCAUAAUUUUAUUGGCCAUACAUGAUAAAGUGUAUCAAAAGUACUUUCCUUUUUAUAAUACCCUACUCAUCUUUUAAUAAUACAUAACUAUCGUAACUACACAAACAUUCCAUAUAUGUUGAAAUAUACCAAUCCUAGGGUCUUCUUGUUUUGCAUUACUUGUUCUUUUGAAGGAUACCUGGUCUUCCUUUUCUAUUCUCAUCAUUCUUAAUAAUAUUUUUUCUUUUGCCACGAAAAAAAAGAACUAUUAUAUUUUUAAUAGUGCUUUCUUAAACUAUUGUAUUUCUAUAUUCUAUCAAAAUUAUAUUGGUCAUCUAUGAUAAAGGGUAUCAAAGGUACAUUCUUAAAAUACGCUACUCAUCUUUUACGCAAAAUGUAUCCCAAAUAUGUAGGAUAAGAGUCUUACUAGUGGCUACCUUAACCUACCUAUCCAACUAUCCUAGUGUCCCCCACCUUACCCACAAUGCCAAACAUGGCCUCAACUUACAAAAAGAAAUUACCAUUUUAUUAGAUUCCAUCAGAAAAUCAAUUCAACAAGAGCAAAAAAGCACUAAGCAUGGAGUGCAGAAACUUCUUUCAGCAUAAGUCAACCACUAGAAAUCUAUAAAUAUUAGGUCAGGAAAAAGCAUAGGUUGUUUUUUGAGUUUCUUGUCCCUAAAUCAGAGGAGGCUAUUUCUCAUACAGAGAAAUUUUGAAAAUAACAUGCUUAGAGAUGCAAAAGAUUGUUCUUACCUGCUGUGGGAUCAAUCACAAACAAUAUUGAAGCCAAAUAAUUAAGUUCUAAUUUCUUUAAACAAAAACCAUAAGAUCACGUUGACUCUUUUUUAAAAGAACAAUUAUUAUUAGAACUUAGAAGGGCGAAAAAGAAAUUACAAACUAAAAGACCUUAACCCAUCCUCCAAAAGAAAAAGAAAGUAAAAAGCACUGUUAAUAUAAGAUAGCAACCUAAUCCCUUUUCGUGUGGAUAAACAAGUUCCCCAAAAAGAAACCAUGGGCUACUCAGAGAAAUGCAUAAAACACAAUCCUCUAACAAAUAUUCAUCAAAUGAUUGAGACCUUAGCUUAAAGUUCUUGCACUUCCCUCCAACAAAA
rnacentral:lncRNA from 1 species